rnacentral:rRNA from 1 species
AGGACUAACGCUGGCGGCGUGCCUAACACAUGCAAGUCGAACGAGGGGUAGCAAUACCCCUAGUGGCAGACGGGUGAGUAACACGUAGUCAACCUACCUCUUAAUGGGGGAUAACUAGCCGAAAGGUUAGCUAAUACCGCAUACGAUCGUCGAGUGGCAUCACACGACGAUGAAAGGAGCAAUCCGUUGAGAGAGGGGACUGCGUCCCAUUAGUUAGUUGGUGGGGUAAUGGCCCACCAAGACUCCGAUGGGUAGCUGGCUUGAGAGAGCGACCAGCCACACUGGAACUGAGACACGGUCCAGACUCCUACGGGAGGCAGCAGUGAGGAAUUUUCCGCAAUGGGGGAAACCCUGACGGAGCGACGCCGCGUGUGGGAAGAAGGCCUUCGGGUCGUAAACCACUGUCGAGGGGGACGAGUAUUGACGGUACCCCUGGAGGAAGCCCCGGCUAACUACGCGCCAGCAGCCGC